GACGAACGCUGGCGGCGUGCUUAACACAUGCAAGUCGAACGGUGAAGCGCCUUCCUUUUUGGUGGGUGUGGAUGAGUGGCGAACGGGUGAGUAACACGUGAGUAACCUGCCCCCUUCUUCUGGAUAACCGCAUGAAAGUGUGGCUAAUACGGGAUAUUCUGGGUCUGUCGCAUGAUGGGUCUGGGAAAGAUAUUGUUUCGGUGGGGGAUGGGCUCGCGGCCGAUCAGCUUGUUGGUGGGGUGAUGGCCUACCAAGGCGGUGACGGGUAGCCGGCCUGAGAGGGUGGACGGUCACACUGGGACUGAGACACGGCCCAGACUCCUACGGGAGGCAGCAGUGGGGAAUAUUGCACAAUGGGAGCAAGCCUGAUGCAGCGACGCCGCGUGAGGGAUGGAGGCCUGCGGGUUGUGAACCUCUUUCGCCAGUGAAGCAGGCCUGCCUCGUUUGUGGGUGGGUUGACGGUAGCUGGAUAAGAAGCGCCGGCUAACUACGUG
rnacentral:rRNA from 1 species